rnacentral:rRNA from 1 species
AUUGAACGCUGGCGGCAUGCUUUACACAUGCAAGUCGAACGGUAACAGGCCGCAAGGUGCUGACGAGUGGCGAACGGGUGAGUAAUGCAUCGGAACGUGCCCAGUCGUGGGGGAUAACUACUCGAAAGAGUAGCUAAUACCGCAUACGAUCUACGGAUGAAAGCGGGGGACCGUAAGGCCUCGCGCGAUUGGAGCGGCCGAUGUCAGAUUAGGUAGUUGGUGGGGUAAAGGCUCACCAAGCCAACGAUCUGUAGCUGGUCUGAGAGGACGACCAGCCACACUGGGACUGAGACACGGCCCAGACUCCUACGGGAGGCAGCAGUGGGGAAUGUUGGACAAUGGGCGCAAGCCUGAUCCAGCAAUGCCGCGUGCAGGAAGAAGGCCUUCGGGUUGUAAACUGCUUUUGUACGGAACGAAACGGCUCUGGUUAAUACCCGGGGCUAAUGACGGUACCGGAAGAAUAAGCACCGGCUAACUACGUG